rnacentral:rRNA from 1 species
UACGGAGGGUGCAAGCGUUGUUCGGAAUCACUGGGCGUAAAGGGCGUGUAGGCGGUCCGCUAAGUCUGAUGUGAAAGCCCGAGGCUUACCCUCGGAAGUGCAUUGGAGACUGGCGGACUGGAGUCCCGGAGAGGAGGGUGGAAUUCCUGGUGUAGCGGUGAAAUGCGUAGAUAUCAGGAGGAACACCGGUGGCGAAGGCGGGUCUCUGGGCCGAUACUGACGCUGAGGAGCGAAAGCGUGGGGAGCGAACAGG